UCAAAGGGCCCACAUUAUUCUGUCCCUAUGAGGUCUCACUGCUACUCCUUUAAGAGUAACCAAAACCAGAUCAGGGUUGUUUGCAGGUCCCAUUUUACAGAGUCUGAUCUCCUGUGCCUGGUUUCCAUUUCCUGUCACAGGACUCAGCAAACUUUGGGGGAGUUGUUGCCAGACCUGGGCUUGCUCCCGUAUAAAUUCCUGAAGACUCUUUUGCUGUUAAACCUAUCAGGCUUUCUAUCCAAGCAUUAGAGUCUGUGCUUUUCAAGGGUGGGAAUGAGAGACUGGUGAGAGCACUCUGGGAGCAGAGAACAUGGAGUCUGCUUGAAAACCCCCAGACUCACCAUGAGGGAGUGUGUCUGCUGGUGAGUGUUCCGCUAAGAUCUGGACUAAUAACACCUGAGAUCAUCCAGAGCCUCCUCCCCUGGGUGAAUUCCCCAACAGAAAAUAGCCAAGUCACCAGCACAGCUUUCCUUGCCCAGGUCCUAGCACAAUGGGAAUCUGGUCUGUGACUGGGACUAUGAGGCAGUGCUGGAAUACAAAUAAUCACAUGCUGAUCUACAGAAAUACUUUUGUACCCUGGCCAUCCCCACUGGCUUAAGAGAUUAGUCACUGAAAAUGGAAGUAAGUGACCUUGACAUCUGCAGUUUAACUCAGUCCCUUCAUCUCCUGCACUGAGUGUUCUUUCCGCUCAGUAUAUGCUGUCUGAAUGCACAGGAGAACCGUGAUGGAUGGUGACAAAGAGCCUGGAGACUUUUUCCCCAUUUGAUGGGUCUUGUGGUGAGCUGGGUCAUGUAUAUGGACCUGGAGAAGAAAGAGGAGGUGGCAUUCAUUUGGAUGAAGAGAAAUUUUGGACAAUGGAUUAUGUCUGGAAAGGCAGGUGUUCUGUUUCCCUGAUCAGCUCUCCCCCGAAAGUGCAGUGAAGCAACAAGCAUUAGCUUCAGACUCUUGCGGCAACUUUAUGUACAGUGAAUUUCAUUGCAUAUGUCCCGCUUGCUGAUGCCACCAUGGCAAUAGGUAACACAUGAAUACAAGCCAAGUUUGAUUUAAAAAAAAAUUGCCUCAGGUUAGGCGGUUGUGUUCAUAUCUAGGUCCCCAAAUAAAUGGCUUGACUUGUACUAGCACUGAGUGCUAAGAAAUUCCGAAUAGGUACUCAUUUUUAAAAACAAUAUUGGGCAAAGUCCACUGGGAGUAUGAAGCAGUUUUGCUAUAUAGAAAGAGUAGCAAGCUCCAGCAAACAGGCUGCUUUCAAUUAUCUUUGCACUAUACCCAUUUUUGGAGAAUGACUUUAGUCUAAGUCUAACUUUUCUAUGUUGCA